UAAAACUCAAAAUUUUCAAGCCAUUUCAGAAAUCUUCCAUUCACCUUCUGAUCCUCACCGAUCUUGCGGUGUACAUGUAUAGCCUCAGAAACUCAGCCACGACCAUAAACACAGGAUUGAAAAAGCAUGCAGGAAAUACAAAAAGUUGAGCGAUUAAAUAAAAUUAUUUACAGACGACACAGAUUAGGAUUGACGGGGAAGUGUGGAACCAGAAUUGACACCACCGGAGAUUCAGAAUUCAGUGGCUGCCUCAGGCUGCUCGCCGUGUCACCUCCUGCUGCUGUUGCUGCUGCUGAUCCUUCGACACAGACACGAGAACGAUGAUGAAGGCAGCAACAGAUGAAAGACAAAAACCCCAUGAUAUCCUCCUGAUGGACCUGACCUCUCUCUCUCUCUCUCUACAAAUUUUUAACAUUCAAUUUGAGUGUUGCAAAUAGCAAUAGGAUCAUCAUUUUAACAAGGUGACUUUUGACUUUGUUGGCCUUUUCCAUUUUCACUAAUCAAUGCUAGACUGUGAGUCGCAAGUAAAUAUUACCCUCCCUUUCUGGUUCCAUUUACAAAUGCACCACUUUAAUCCUAUCCUUAGAAAAUGAAAAGCUAAUAAAAACACUCAAAAUUGGGCCAUCUUAAUAUUAUGGACAACAAAAUUUAGUUAAUCGACGGCCUGGAUUAAUUUGAAGGAUUUUUUUUUUUAAAAAUACAAAUUUUUUAAACCACACACUUAACAAACUUAUAAAGUUCAACCAUCUUUUUCGUUCGUCUUUUAUUUAAUUAUGCUUGUAUGUGAUGCUAUGCUUUGAUUUGUAUUUAAAGUUAAAUUAUCGGAAUUAAAUACGGAGUUUUACUUUUAAAAUACAAACAUACUAACUACGCAAUUACAAGGCAUAAAACAUAAAAAUAUAUAUUUGUUAAUAGCCUUUGCCCUUGCGGUUACCCUUCAUUUUGCUUAAACGGAUGGACUUGCACAAAGACAAUUGCAGUUUAGAGUGAAUAGUAAAGAUAAUUUCACCGACCUUACUUUUGCCUUGCUCUUGCUUAAAACGGGUGGAGAUGCCUUGAUGACAAAGCAAAAGAGAUAUCGAGGAGUAAAAGGAAACAACAACAUUCCACAAUAAAAAAAACAGUGCCAAAUGUCAUCCACUUUCAGAAAUAGUGCAAAUAAUUGUAACUUUUCGUUUUGUUGAAGUAAAAUUCACAUUUACAUCUUCACGAAAUAUAAAAUGUGACCAGCAUAUGAUUUUUACAUUUUAAAUUUGCAGCUCGCAUGCGAAAUGCUCUAAGGAGGAACUUCGUCAUAAACACAGUAAUUUUGUGGAGUCGAGCAAAAUUUUUUUAUCUAGUGUUAAACUCAAAGAACACGUUGUAUAAAGUUUAUCCAAAGGAGUGCGAAAAGACGACGAGCAAAAGGUUGGGAAUAUAUCUAACAUCCAAUACUAGUUGCAAUGUUUUGUAAUUCGGUACUUAGCAAGUUUGUUCUUUAAAAAUAAAAUUUUGUAUUUAGCUCCGAUAAUUUAACUUUAAAUAUAAACCAAAGCAUAGCAUCACAAACAAGCAGUUAUAAAAAAAAAAACAAUUACCACGUGGCAGAAACCCAUUGCCACACCCAAAUUUCUUGGGCCAUUAUUGGCCGUUGAUUGAGUAGACAAGUGAUGGGAGGACAGAAGAAACUCAAAGUUCGAGGGUUCCAGAAACUCCGACGAUGGCAGGGAUUGGCUCUUGCUGUACAACUCUAUCCUCCACAACUUUGGCUGUAUUUCUGGAGAUGUAAUCUUCCUCUUAGCUGAUGUCCAGUUUUAUGUUUCUGGACCUUUGGAUGGACGUCUUGAAUAAAUUUUCCAUUUCGUACUGUUGGAUUGUUGUUAGUAAUUAAGUUGCAAAAACAUAUUGUUUUAUACGAGAGUUUUUCAAAAUUUAUGACACGUUUUGAUUCCGGUUCUUGUGAGUUAGUAAAAAUCGCAACUAGAAUAAAACAUGUUCUCUUUCUGAUUCGAAGCAUUUAGCAAAUAUCUCGACGCAAUUCCUUGGGUUGAUUCUCUUAUAUUUGUCAAGGAAAUAAACUCAUGAUUUUUAUUAAAUCCCUUUUAAUUUGCUAAACAGGUGUGUCUAUUUCUAUGUGCAAAAUAAACAGAUUAUAGAAUGUGAGAUAUGGAUUCGUAUCCAUUGUCUAUAGAAAAAAAGUGCGAAUGCAACAUUGUUUAUAUUCUCGAAUGCUAUUUAGACAUACAAAAUUGACGACAUUGAUAUGACAUUCUAACACAGGCUAAACAACAUUAGUCGUUUCAUUUCCAUUCUUAAACUUCUGCUCUAUGAACCAAAUGAUUUUUGUCUUUAUUUUUAGUAGAAAUGGUAUUUUACAGUAAUCUACAAUAAAAGGAGGGGAAAGGUUUGAAUCUAGAACAAUGUGAGUUGAAAAUGAAGAUCCUAACUAUCAGGAACCAGUUUUCGUUUCUCAUUUUUGCCUUCUUCCUGGGAAUGACAGUGAAAUUAAACAUAUAUACCCAAUAUUUAAAGGGAAAGAAAGAAUCUUCCAUUCAUCUUCUGAUCCUCACCCAUCUUACGGUGUACACCUAUAGCCUCAGAAACUCAGCCACCACCUUACACACAGGAUCCAAAAAGGAAAAACAAAAAGUUGACCUAUUAAAUAAAAUAAUUUACAAACGAGAGAUAUUAGGGUUGACGGGGAAAUGCGGAACCACAAUUGGCACUACCGGAGAUUCAGUGUUCAGAGGCUGGCUGCUGCUCACUGUGCUACCUCCUCCUCCUCCUCCUGCAGCUGCUGCUGGCCCUUCGCCGCAGACACGAGAACCAUGAUGAAGGCAGCAACAGAUGAAUGACAAAAAUCCCAUGAUAUCCCCCUGAUGGACCUGAUCUCUCUUGAUUCUCUCUCUGUAGAAAUUUUAUACAUGUAAUCUGAGUGUGCAAAUAGCAAUAAGAUCAUCAUUUUAACGUAAUAUAUAGAUAAUAUGUUGCGUUAAUAACAAGGUAACUAUUUUUAAUUACCACAGGGUGCACCAAUGGCUGGGGUAAAUUUUAGGUUUGUAUUUCACACGACACAUCUUGAAUUUGAAUAUUAGUAUUGGUGAAUCGUACGAUGAUGGCCAAAAGGAUGUUAAAAUGUAUCUAUUAAUCUUUUCGGCUUCUGAAAAAGUAGACUGUCAUAAAAAAAUCACCGACAAAUUUAAAAAAAAUAAAAAUAAAUAACAAGGUAACUUUUGUCUUGUUGAUCUUUUCCAUUUUCACAAGUAAAAUGCUAGACUGAGCAGGUCACAAGUCAAUGAAAAGCUAAUGAAAACACCGAAAGCAGGCCCUCUCAAUAUUAACGACAACAAAAGUUUUUUGGAUAAGCAUCGUCUGCCCUCCUAGUUGUGCCCUUUCAUACCCUCCUAUUUUGUGCGAUCACGUCAAGCCACGUUAAUAUUUUAUAUUAAUUUUUAAUAAAAUAAUAAGACAAAAAAUAAUAAAAAUAUAAAAUAUUAACGUGGCUUAACCGUGACCGUACAAAAUAGAAGGGCAUGAAAGAGCAUCACAACUAGGAGGGCAGACAAUCCUUAUCCUUAUUUUUUAACGUGGAUGUCACUUAAUAAUGUUUCUGAACGUCGAUGUCACUACUGGUUCUUUUUCCUCCUCGUGCUGCUGACUGUUCUGCUUAGUCUUCAUACUCCAUUACUUUUUGAAGAAAAAAAACGCUCUUACCACUUGCUUUGGUGUACGAAAGAAAUUUCAACUUUAUGCUCAAAGAAGAAUUUGGCAUAAAAACUUUGGACAAUGAUUGUCUGCCCUUCUAGUUGUGGUGUCCUUCCAUGCCCUCUUAUUUUGUGCGAUCACGGUUAAGCCACGUCAAUAUUUUAUAUUUUUAUUGUUUUUUGUCUUAUUAUCUCAUUAAAAAAUUAAUAUAAAAUAUUGACGUGGCUUAACCGUGACCGCACAAAAUAGAAGGGCAUGGAAGGGCGCCACAACUAGAGGGCAGACAAUCCUUAUCCAAAAAAUAAUGCAAUUAACUGUAAUUUUUUGUUAGAGUACAAUCAUAUUUACGUAGAUUUUUAUAUUUAAAAUAUGCAGCUCCCUUUCGAAAUGAUCUAAGUAGGAAUUCCGUCAUAAACACAGUUACAUGAAACGGCUACAAGAUAUUUUGGAAAUUACGUAACAAUUUUAUGGAGUUAAGCAAAUUUUUGUUGGAUAAUGUUAGGAUGGUCAAAAUUUUAAAUCAAAUUUGUAAAAUAAAUAAUGUAUUACCAAUAAAAAGUAAGUACAUUAAUUAACAAUUAAAUGAUAAUUCAAUUAUCAACAAACACAUCAUUUAAUUUACAAAAUUCAAUUUAAAAUUUUGAUUUUCCUAAAAUUACUUUUUUUUUUUAUAAAUCUGGUGUUAAACUCAAAGAACAGGUUGUAUAAAAUUUAUCCAAGAAAAAGACGAAAAGCAAAAGGUUGGAUAUAUAUCUAAUAUCCAAUACCAGUUGCCACGUGGCAGAAACCCAUUGCCACACACAAAUUUCUUGGGCCAUUAUUGGCUGUUGAUUGAGUGCACAAGUAACUGGGGAGAGAAGAAACUCAAAAGAUUGAGGAUUCCAGAAACUCCUUCGAUGGCAGGGAUUGGCUCUUGCUCUACGACUCUCUCCUCCACAAGGUAACUUAUUCCCUGUCUUUCUUUGUUUUCGUGUUGGAAAGACUGCAUUUUUACUAGGAAAAGUUCCUACUCUGAAUACUCUCUCGGAUUCUCGAUGGCGGGUUUUCUUGUUUGGUUGCUGAGAAAAUGUAGAAAAGUAAGAUUAUUGAACAACUAACAGAAUCUUUUGCUCUUUUGAAGCAUUAUGAGAUACAGAAAUACGUUCAACUACUCAUCUAGCCAGAUGUGUCUUUAGCUUGUUUUUAUACCACAUUUGAUGUGAACAAUCACAUUUGAAUUAAUCAGAUUUUUAAAUUUAGUUCAUUAUUUAAUAAACUAAUAAUUAAGAAAAACUAGUUAAUUAAAUGAUGAUUGUGGUAUACGAUGAGUCUUUUUCCUUCAUUUCCUUAGAUUUUGCAAAAUUUUUAAAUAAUGUGGCUGUCCACAUCAGAUGCACAAGGUAGUAUAGAAAUGUGGUAUUAAAACAUGGUAUAAAUAACAUUACUCUUUCCUAUAACCAAAAACGUUUAUGAUGGCGCUUAGUAGGAAAAGCUAAAAGUGAUUAUGACUUCUGGAGAAUCACCAAGUUCCAAGUGCUUUUCAGAAAAGCGCAUGUUGGAGAAUAGAAUCCCACAUCGGAAACUUCACAUAGGAAAAUUACACCUUACAUUGUAUGGUUCCAUUUCUAGCUAGUUGCACAGAGGCCAACAGCUGCCCAACCGUGUGGUGGUUCAGUUGGAACACUAUCGGGAGGUGAUUAGUAAUUUAGUAGUGGGCCGCUAGCUCGACUCUGAAAUCUUGACAACACCUGUUUCCAAAUGCUUUUUGAGCAGCACCUUGAAAUUGUACCAGAAGCCUAGCACUUGUUUAGGUUCAAAUCGCAUAUGCUUUACAAAAUUUACUCCUUAUUUUGUUACAUUUUGUUUCUUUUGGAUCACUUUGAACGCAGUUGGUAUCAUGGUAAUAUAUGUUAGUGAAUCUAGUGAAAUUGUUACACACACAAAGAAAAAUGAAGUAAGGGGUAAGAAAAUUUUUUUGACAGCAAUUUCUGCACAUCUUGGUUGAAACUUGGCACCCGUACUCAUGGUGGAGGAACCAUCUUAGGGCAACCAACCCGCCAUCGACAAAAAUUCUCAAUCAGAGCAGAAGUGAAUUUUGUAAGUGCAGAAGAAGCAAAAGAACUUGUUGCAGUUGAGGGAUAUACAGUCAUUGAUGUCCGGGACAAAUCUCAGUAUGAACGAGCUCAUAUCAAAUCUUGCCAUCAUGUGCCCCUCUUCAUUGAAAACCAAGACAAUGAUUUUGGUAAGCAUUUCUUUCUUGGACAACUCAUUUGUCACAAAUGUGGCGUCAUUUUUAUAUAAUAAUAAUAACCAGAACCGUUCGUUCUUUUUGUCAUCAUCUAAAGAUCAUCUUCAAAUUUUGUAUCUUUUGUAUUAAAUUUGAGCAUUUUAUGAUUUUCAUAACCGAAAUGGAAUUUGAUUUUGUUAAUGAUGAAUUAUGGGCAGGAACAAUCAUAAAGAGGACUCUCCACAACAAUUUUUCUGGUCUCUUCUAUGGAUUGCCUUUUACUAAACCUAACCCUGAAUUUGUAGAGUCAGUUAAAACCAAGUUCUCACCCGAAAGUAAAUUGUUACUGGUGUGUCAGGAAGGGCUGAGGUAAGUUUUUUCAUAUGUUAGCUGCUAUGUUUUUCACCUAGCAACCGUUUGACAAGAUCCUUUUGUUUCCUUUUAAUUUGAAGGUCUGCUGCUGCUGCCAAUAAGUUGGAGCAAGUAGGUUUUGAGAACAUAGCGUGUAUAACAUCAGGUCUUCAAAGCGUAAAACCCGGUUAGGAUUCGAGCUAGCUCCAAUGUCUUUUCGUUCUCUGGAUUAUGAUCUGUUAAAAAGAUUAUUUGGAUCUAAUGCGACCGUUUGCUACACCAGGAGAAUUUGAUUCAGCUGGUUCGACGGAGUUGCAAGAUGCCGGCAAAGCCGGAUUAGUCACUGUUCAGGGAAAGAUCUCAGCUGUGCUUGGAACAGUACUAAUCUGUAAGUCCUUAUGAAUUUGACCUUAAAAGCACUUUUGUUCUGUUGGUCCAUGAGGUGAUAUUUUGAUCUCUGUUCUGAUCAAAUGGCAGGUGCAUAUUUGUUCAUCACCUUCUUUCCCGAUCAAGCAGAGAAGAUACUCGCAAUUUUCGCGGCCAGCUAGCCCGAAUGCGGUGCAUACAUUUAUGAGGAAGUUUUGCAGAUCCCUCCAACCCCAUCAAGAGAUUUGAGUAGGGAGAGAUUUUUGAGGCAUGUGCUGCUCUGCAACAAGCUGUAUAAGGUUCAGAUCAUGAUAAAUUGUCAUACAUAUUCAUCAUUCAACAGGUUUUUGCUGCCUUAUUCAGGUUCCAAACCAGUAAGAUCAUGACGAUAAUCUACACCAAUACACGAUGACGUUCCAACUAUAAAUAAAAUUCAUAUGACGAGCCAUAUCACUAUAGAAUUACAAGCUAUAAACCAAAACCUCGCGAAAGGGAAAGAAACUCGAAGGUUAGAGUCGAGAUCCAAUAUUCUAGACCCACGAAAGAGGAAAAAGGAAAAUUCACAAGGCUGUGAACCUAGGUUGACAAAAUAUUACAGUAAGAUUUUGUUUUCUUUACCCAAAAAAUAUUACAAUGAGAUUAGCAAAUGUAUUCUGAUUCCAUCCUGUGCACCGUGUAUCAAUGCAUAAAUUAUGCAGGGUACCAUACCAUUCCACAGUACUUAGGGUUGAUCCGCAGCUGCCAACGGCACGAUGAGCAUGAUAGGAUUGAAGGAUAAAACAGCCAGCUUCUUUCUGCACCGCUCUUGUUCUACGGCAUUAUGAUGCACAAAAUCAUUCUCCUUGUAGGCAAUAGAGCUGACGGAUGUUUCCAGAAGCUGUCAAAUGGGUUAACUAGAUCAGCUUUUAAACAACAUCCUACUUAUCUACAAUAAAAGCUCAUGAAAUUACAUAUAAUGGUAUGUAUUUGGCACAAUUUCAACUCAAUAAUAUGCAUUAUGGUUCAAAUAAAGCCACAUAAAAGAGGGUAUUAAAAAAUAGUAUACUAUUCAGAACGUUAAACAGCAGUAUAUGUCGCUUGAAAAUGCAGUUUCAAAAUACAGGAUAUGCCAACUAACUUUGUUGUGCAAAGUGCUGAUGAUGUUCCAAGAAAUACAAUGUUCUAGCACGUGUGUGUCAACGUGUGGAAACUAUUGUAAUAAUGAACAUUACCAUAUAACCAGUCUUUAAAAUAUACGUGGAGAGCAGUUGAUAAUUCCCGCUUUCUAUUUUCUUCAAGAGGUGCUUCCCUCAAUAAUUGCUUUACCUCCCCAAGAUUGUUCUGCAGGAGAAAAGGUUAAACAUAAUUAAAACAUAAAUAACAUUGACCACCUCAAUCAAACAUCAAGGAAUUCUUAGUAAAACAGUAAGAAAAUAUCUAAUGACUAAACCCAAAUAUAAAAAUAAAAAUCUACACUAGUGUUAAGCCGGAGUAAGCAUACGUUUCUCUGCUGGGAAACCAUGUAAGCAUCUGGUAAUGGAAAUGGGUUGUCUUUUGUGGAGCCCUGCGAUUCACCUCCAUACCAGUUUGGAAUCUGAAUAUAAAAGAGACAUAUAGGAUGUAACUAGAUAAUUCAGAAAGAAAAUGAGUAAUUGUACAACCAUUGCCAUCUCAACCACCCUAAGCCAACCAAAUGAAGAAACAUACUCAUAAAUACAAUUGUAAUGCCCCUAAUGUGCGUGACUUUGUCCGAAGACUCUGUUGGUAGAGCUUUUCUCUAUUUAAUUUCCAAUGAAAAACUAUUAUUUCAGAAAACUAAGGAAACCCCUUUAAUACAGUAUAAAAUCUAAAUUAAAAGCUUGUAAAGAUUAUAAUACCAAGAAAUUUGUGAACUGGUCGGCGUCUAAGUGUGCAGCAGACUCAGCCUGAGCCUCAGAGACACCUGCUGGAUGAGAUAAUGAAUCAUGUGGGUCAACCACUCCAAGUGGCAGGGGCUCAUCCCAUCUGUUGAUAGUAGCAUCAACCCCAACUUCCUUCAUGUGCUCCUCCAACUGACUGUAAAAUGUAUUGUAUGGUGCCACCUGAUAAAAGCCGAGGUGAAAACAAAGAUCAGAGCAUGUUAAAUCUUCAUUAGAACUUGAAAACUAAAACACACAAAACUAUGAUCAUAACAAUAUAUAAUACUUAUUAUGAUCGAAGAAAUCAAUGCUACAUUUCAGUAAAAAAAAUUCAAUUUUGUCUACUCUUAUAGUCAUAUUGUAUUCGAUUUGACGCCAAAGGUUCAACAUAACAAAAGCAUGCAUGCAAACCACUAUUCAAAAAUAAAAAAUAGCAACUACAUGCGUCAAGGCUGUCAGCAAAGAUCAUUUUAAAAGGAUGUGCGCCUGUGUGUAGCAAGGGCAUCUUGACUAUAACUUGGUAAGUUCCACAUUUUUUUUUUCCAACUGAACAAAUUGAAGAGUACAGGAAACCCUAGAUGCUUGAAUGUUAGACAGAUCAAGAGCUACAAUAUCUGGGGACAUGCUAUCAAAUGUAGAAUGGAAAGAAAGUUCCCUUCUCUUGAUAUGAAUCACAAUAGAACCAGAAGAGUGGCCAAUAACAUGUCAAUGAAACAUAUUGUUAAAGUUGGAUGCAUAUAUGACAUUACCGAAAAAAGUCAUGGAGAUUUACAAAAAACCAAACAGGUUAAACCAAUAUACGAGCAAACCCACAUUAAGAUUAGUUGUAACAAAACGAAUCCACAUUAAUAUAAGUUGCAGAAAAAACAGAAAUUGGGGGAACUCAAUCAAAUGUAGAUUAAAAAAGGUCGUACCCAGUGCACAAGGCUCCCGCUUUACGCAGGGUAGUGUGAAAAUUAAACUGCAUGAGUACUGGCUAGAAACACAAUUGUGCAAUCAAUUAGGGCAAGAUUCACCUGCAGCUUAUGGUUAUCACCAACAAUAAGUGGUCGCUGGUUGACACCAAGGAAAAACAUGCAUUCGCGGCAGUUAGCAAUGCAGAUUCGAUUUGCUGCUGUAAUCACAUGAACUCGCUCACAGUGUUCGAUUCUAACAGCCUGUAAGAGACAUUAGACAUCUAAGCUAUAAGAUUCAAGUUAACCAGGUGACACAACUACCGAUGUUCAUUGCAUACAAAACAGUAAUUAGUUGGCCACUUCACAUGACAAUAUACAGACAUUGGACUAAUUCAAAUGUUCACUAAAGGGCAAAACAUCAGGCCUAAUUAGACGUAACAAAAGUUAUUACAUUUGAUUAACCAAACCAUUAUGUAAAAUCUGUAACUUAAAAAACAAGUUGUGCAAGAACUUUGAUAAAGCUUUGCAUAACCACCACAUAAGAAGCAUAUAGGUAAUUCACAGGAACACCAGUCAACUCAUCAUUUCACAAACAAAGAUCAAGAGUAAUUAUCUGUAGUUGUUAGAGAGUGAUUCAACCCAUUAUACAUUCUACCAGACAAACAAAAUUCAAAAGCCUUCUUUUUCAUUGUGUUAUAAACUUGCAUGAUCAUUUCAUUGACUUUCAGAAGUCAACUGCAAACUUUGUAUUUGUGAUAGGAAAGGGUAAAAAUGAGUGCCAAAAGAAAGUGACUUGGCAGGCAUAAGCUUAGUGGGAAUGAAAUGCAACAUGACUACUUGCAAAGUCGAACUGAAGUUAUCAGUUAGUAGCAUUACCGCAAUACAUCAAGUAACCAAAUUCUACCAUCUUAUCUGAUACCAAAUUUUUAAAGAUGAAGGAUAAACAAAUCCACAGAUCUUUACAGACCACAAGUCAAUCAUUCUGAUAUGUUUAAAUUUACUAGAGAUAGAAAAGUAUUUCCAAUUCUACUAUCAACAUCAGUACCACAGGUAUAACCUUUUCAGUAUCCAACUAUAUAUUAGGGAAUAAUUACAGAUAUCACAGCAACAGUCAAUAUCCAAAGCAUAAAUACAAAUGUCUUUCCUAUUACCUUUCCAACAGCUCCAAGAACAAUUGUAGCAUCAGAGCAUCCAUAAACUGUGGCAUAUCUCAGAGGUGCUAAUAUGUAGAUAACUGAAUCGUGGCAAUUUAAAACCUGAAAUUGCAAACAAGUUACUACCAAGCCAAUAUACCUCUUAGAAGAAACACUCCUAUUUUAGUUCACCGCUUUUAUGCACAAAGCAUGUAAAGGAACAUGUUGAGAAAAGAUAACAAUAAAGCUGACAACUUGACAAAUUGAUUAACCAAGUGCAUUAUUAAGUUCAAUGAUCUUUAUAAUUAAGAUUAGGAUUAAACUGAAUGAGCAGCUACCUCCCUUCCUUAAAUGCAUAAUGGCAGGACUCAGCAAACUCCAAACUUAAAAUAAAUACAUAAAUAAAUAAAAGUGAAAAAUGCAUCGAUGGAACAGUUAGCCAAUUUGGAAACCAAAAUAUAGCAUAGCAAAACCUUCAAUCGAUCACACAUAUAACACAACAGGUGCAUUCCCACAGCCCCAAGAGUGAAUCCCCAAUGUGGCAUGCAAUAAGUUAUUAGAAGCUCAAAGACAUAAUGACUUGAUUCUUGUGUCUUAUUAAUAAUUGGGUUCUCCUCAUUUCCUUCUUUCUGGUUCUAGCUCCUGAACUUCUAGAAGCGUUAAAAUAUGAAACAUCCCGUAAAUGUAGAACAGACAUCAGAGGAAAAAAGAAUAGAUUUUACAUUUUUAUAAACUACUUACAAGAAACCAUAAAAAUAUGUCUUAUCAUUCAUGAACCAACCUUUACAGAAGAACCUUUAAGAUCAGAUGUUCGCUUUACAAGUGAUGACUUGGAGAUCCCCUCAAUAAAACUUGGGCCUCUGACACUUGAUGAGCCCUUGUUUGAACUCGUGCAGGCAUCAGCCAUAGGAACAUCUUGGUCUGAGGAACUGGGUGGCCCGUUUUCUUUUGGAGAAAUCCUUUCCGAAAUAUGUUCCAAAGAUGAGACCAUAUUCUCUAGAACCCAAUCGUGAACUUGCGCUGCAGGAACAGGAACAGCAGGCAUAUCAGGAUCUGAAUUUGCAAAAAAAGGAGCGUGUUGGCUGAAUUGAUUUCCUUCAGAUCCUUUGUCACCAAAGUGAAGCAGAAACCCAAGGUGCUCAAAUUUCUCCAUGGUCAAAACCUAUAAAGGGUUAAAUCAGAUCAUUAAGUGGGCUUGGGAGAUACCAACAAAAAAGAUACAACUACAAACUCCAUAACAUAAAAUAAAAAUAAGAAAUCAGCACCGGUUGUCCAUGAUAAAAAUACAAGGAGACAUUAGUUAUUGUGGCCAACUUAUUGUCAUCCAGAUUAACUGUUCUGCCAGUACCUUCUUUAUCAACUGCAAUGGCCACCAAAAGAAGAGGAAAUGUCUAUCCUUCCUUUUGCGACUUUAAGACGCAGCAACAUGCUAACCAUGUGUUGGAUUUACUGAACUGCAUUUCCAUUCCAUUAAAUCUGUCCUACUUUACGUCUUUUUAGAUUAAUAAUAAUCAAACUUCAGUAUGUUUCAUGCAAUUGGAAUGUAGAAUGUAUGGUUCAUGGUUCACACUUCAAACAUCCCAUAAAGAAAUCACUUCCCACAAAUACAAAUGUUCAUAAGUGAUGAUAAUUGGUGUUGCACUUAUGACCGAACCAAAGCAUGAAUUAAGGAUUUGGGUGGUGCUCACAGUACGAAUGGUGUUUUUCAAUCAAAUUGGAGAAAAGUACCAGCAACUAUUAUCUUUAAUACAAUUUACUUUUUGGUAGCCAAAAAGGUGAAUAAUUGACUCAACCAACAAAGAUUUAAUAAUUUCACAUACCAGAGAUUCUUCUCCUUCCCCCUCCACAGAUUCUGCUAAUAAAGAGACAAGGUUGGCCAAAUGCUUUUUCAAAUAUGAUAACUGAUGUGCCUCUUCAUCAGCCUGUGAUGGCAUAAACCGACGGCUAUUGCUACGCACAAGCUGUCAUGUGUUGGAAUUCCAAGGUUGAUAUAAGUUUAAUCCAACAAAAUAAAUGUCUCAAAUCAAAGUUCCGAGCAAUUAAAUAUAAAAAAACGAAAAGUUUCAGGACACAAAUGUUGCAAGUUAAAUAGUAUUGCCCAAAUUCUGAUACUGAAAAAUGUUGUACUAUGUACUACAAAAAUUCAUCCAAGUGUAAUCAACUCAACAAAACCCUUGCUCUAAAAGUUUAUAAUCAACCUCGUGAUUACCAUUUCGCAACACAAAGAGUACAUAAAGCUAAUUAAACCGGGGUGGACACAAUGUAGCACUGUCAUUCCAAAUGAAUCUAAACAUACACAUCCUGGAAGAUAAAACUAGGUGGUCCGCUCACUACAAGCCAAGAUUAGGUACUUGAGCAUUUUACGUUUAGUGCAAUUCAAUCCAACAAUGUAGCAGACAAUGCAACGAAUUGUUACAACCCCCACCCCAAGCACGCAAUUGAUCAAAACUCCAACCAAAACACAAUGAGAAGUAAGAUUAGUCAAAUACUAACCACAAUAAGUUCAAUAAUGGAUAGAUCAAAUGGAAAUAUAUUCCAUUUCAAUCCACAUUGUAUUCCAAUACUAACGAACACACACAAAGUCAAACAAUUGACCUGAAUAAUCCCAUUUUCUACAUUGCAGCAAUCUCAUGUCAAGAAAACCAGCGUCUUGAAUAAAAUUGCCAACCUUUUCAACUUAAUUAACCGAAAUCUAACCAAAACCAACCGGCAACCAAAUUAAUUAAUCGCGGCAAACUCCAUUUCUAAUCCACACGCAUUGCACAAUGCACCACCAAUUAACUAAAGAAAGAAAACAAAGAUCAAUUAAGGGACAGCUUCUCACCUGCAAUGGCGACAAAGCGGACAGAUACCCAUCGAAAGCCGACGUCGAAGGCCAGACAUCGGCGACGGCAGCCGAGUCCUUGUGCGUCCGCGGCAGCAACUUCUUAUACGACUGAAUGUAGAGGAACAGAACCAGAUCAUGCACAUCGGCUCCAGCCUCGUCAAUCCCAUCUGGCUUGGCUUUCACGAGCGGGUCGGACUCCGAGUGCAGAACCGACGCUAGGGUAUCGAGGACGAGCUUCGCCUGAUCAAUGGAGAUCUGGAGAGCCUCGGAGAUCGCGGCCGAGUCGACCCGGUGACUGGGCGACUUCUCGAUCAGCUUCUGCUUCAGCGGAAUCAGGGUUUGGGUCGGGUCGGUGAAGAUUAGCUUGGGGAUGGGCAGCAGCCCGUGCUCGAACGGCUCGCGGCGCGGGUGAAUCAGGAGGGCCGGGUCCUUGGCCGAAGACGACGUCGUUGCGGGCUCAAUUGGGUCGCUCAUGGCUUCUUUUCUCAGGAGGCAGCAAAACGCAGAGUUUUUGUGUAGACAGAGAGAUUUGUGAGUUGCAGAUCUUCCAGAAAUGAAUAACGAGAGAGAGGUUGAGGAGAGAGUGAGGGAAUGAUCCGGUGCGAUUCGGUGCACGGAAGGUGAACCGCGUGGAUGUGUUAAUUGGGAGUUGGGUUGCAAUCAUCAGUACGUAUUUUUCAAAAACAAAAAAAAUCAGCUGCUAGUUUUGUCGCGGCAGUUCAUUCUAUCAGGUUGAAAAAAUUCAUAUAGGUAUUUUAGCCUUCUUUUGAUUAAUAAUGUGUGAUUUAUCAGUACUAAAAAAUCAAACUCAAAAUAUACCGUGUAAAUACAUCUUGAAAUUCAUACUUAACUACUGAAUCACCCUCUGACUAUCAUCAUUACGUUGAAUUGUGGCUAAUUCCAAGAGGUUAGUGGAGAAGAAGUGGAUUAAAGAGGGGGCCGUGGCCCGUAAUGCAUCGGACAUGUGUAUGACCAUUUUAAAUGACAUCAACUAAAUUAUCGACAGCUAUGAUUUUCUUUAAUCUUUUGACCAUAAAGUUGCAAGGAUUUCAAACGUCUUAAUGUAUUAAAAAUGUCCCUCUCUAAUUUCGUUAAAUCUAAAAUUGCCCUCUUAGACCAUCUCCAACCCUGGGUUAAAAGCCAAAUUACCCCCCAAAUUACUCUCCCAAACACUCUCCAACCCAUGCUAAAAUUUUAGGCUAAAUGCCAAAUGCUAUUUCUGGGCCAAAUACCCCUCAACUUUCCCCCCGGGCUAAAUGCGAAAUGUUUAUCGGAAUUUAAAUUUUUUUAGAUCAAAAUGUUCAUAAAAUUAAUUUACAAUAAUCUACAUAUUUAUUUUUUUUUUUUAAAUUGAUUUAAGAAAAAAAUUUAGGCUAAUUUCAUUAUUUAAUAAUUCCGGGCUAAAAUUUUAAGGUAGAAGGGUUGGAGCAGAAAAGAUGUUUCUGGGCUAAAAGCUAAAUUUUCCGGGCUAAAAAAUUUGGCUUUUAGCCCAAGGGUUGGAGAUGGUCUUAAUGAAACCAGAAAAAACAUUAAAAUUACGAAGGUGAAGUGUUGAUUUAGUUUUUGAAUUAUCAUCUCAGUGAAAAUUAAGUUCCUGAAUUAUUUUUUCGGUAAAAUAAGUCCCUAAAUUCAUUAAAAAUUACUAAUUUCAUCCCUACAAUUAUAUUCAAAGCUAUUUUAUCUAGUUUUUCUUCAACUUAAGUCACUAGACAUACUUUAGAACGUAAUACCAUAAUUUUCUCUCCUAUAAGACCUUAACAUUACAUAUAGGUUGAGAAUCUAACGUCUAAUUGACCCUCCAAAUUUAACUCGAUACACUAUUUUUUUAUGAAAAAUUACCAAUCUACCCUCCAAUGUGUAUCACAUGCAAGUAACGUGACUUAAAUUGAAGGAAAAUUGAAUAUAGUAGCUUCAAAUCUAAUAUUAGGGAUGUAAUUGGCAAAUAAUUGAUUUUUCUGAAGAAAAAAAAUAAUGUAGGGACCUAGUUUUCACUAAGGUAAUAAUUCAGAUAUUAAAUUGGCAAUUCACCCAAAUUACAAUUGUUACAGAAAUAAGAGAAAAAAGUAAAAACAACGCUAUAAUGUCCUUUACGUUUUCAGCAUUCACAACACAAAGUUUGCAAUUACACAUAGAGGAAAAUAAAUGCGGACUCGAACAUGGAGGAAGCAGUUUUGCGAGAGAGAAAUAUAGAACAAUUCAUAUGACAAUCUCAUUGAGGGUGGAUAGUUAUUCAAGGAUCAUGUUUUUUGGGAUAAGACGAAGUAAUAUGCCGCUCGAAUUUUUUUAUGUGGGAGAAUUCGGCUCCAUAACCGCCAUAUGGUGUCGGAGUUGUUCUGAUUCAUGUGUGGAACAUUAGGAGUCGUCCCAACGUACGUAUUUAUCUAAAAUUUACUUAUACGGCAUGCCCCAUGUCUUGUUACGGGCUAAUAGUAGAGGAUGACAAGUGUGGGCUACCAAGGUUUUGGUAGUGACUUUGUUUUUAGCUUGUUAGAGUGGUCUUGGUGUUGGCUGGAAACCUUAGGCUAGCAGUUAAUGAAGCCAUUAUGGAGUGUAUCCUGAAAUAAUAUGUUGUUCUAGCAUGUUGUGCGCCGUUUUAUAUGAGUUCGGAGAAAGAAAUUGAAGAAUUCCGCGGAGAAUUUCAGCAAGCUCAACGAGUGGUAAAAUUUCGAUAAAGUUUUCCACGUAGCUCCGAAUCACAUUCGGCAAAAUUCUAUAGAAAUCUAACAUUUGUAUAUUCGUGAUAGCAUAUAGCAUUCUGAGAAGGUACAGUUUAAACUUUCAAUUUGGUAGUGCUGUUGCGACAUGCUGGUUAGGCUGGUUUAUCGUUCAGCUUCUUUGCAUGCUAGAUUUGAGACUAAUAUGUCUUGUGGAAAAUUAUGGAAAAAUAAUAACAUCAUUGUAAAUGUAUUUCUUAGCUUGCCAGGGGUAUAAGGAACGCCAUUUGGAAAGAAGUCGAGAAGGCUUAAAAUCUUUGUUUUCCCAUAUAUGUGCAGCUUUAAAGGGAAUGCAUUUUUUACUAUCUUCGUUCGAAAAAAAUUGAAGGAUAACUAUGACGAAAAGUCUGAAAACUUGACACAACGAUCUUCAAUGCCUUAUGAUUCUUUCCCAACUGGUUGUGCGUUAAUAUUCAUUUGGAAAUUCAACUUUCUGGUAGAAAUCAUUUAAGUGCACAAAAUGGGUUUUAAGGCAUGACCACCUUGCUCCCAUAGCUUUGUGAGAACUUGCCCCAAUCGGAGUGUUGAUCAACAUGGAUUGAGUUGCAUAUUUAACUAGUUGUAGACUUCAGACAAUAGGUUUGCGAGUUGAAUUUGUGAUGCGGUGUUGGUCCGCACAGAGCCGAACCUGCAUUUUCGACCUGACUUGGAAGUAUGGUUGUCACUCCAUCUUAAAGUUCAUACUUGUAAGCUUUUUUUAACCUGAUCAUUCAUGCAAGCUUCUUUUGGAAUAAGCCAAGUCCACUUUUGCUACUCCAUGUCUUGUGUGCUAGCGAGUCUUUCCAAACUAAGCAUUUUAGUCGAAGAUUGUGUCGCAAAAUGGUGCUCCAUGUGUUGGAUCUUAUGCCGAUGGUGUUGCUCAUGGCAGAUGUCGUUGGCCAAGGGAAUAUGAUUCUUCUUCUAGGGAAAACACUAGUUGUUGGAACCAAAUUUGCACACAUCUGUGGAUAGAGACGGUAUCGAAAUCACUCAUUAACUCUGCCAAGGGGUGAAUGGGGGGGGGGGGGGGGGGAGGGGUUCAUUAAGAGGUGUGAUUGAUUAUGGUUCGGGCUUCCUACAUAUCUUUGUGGUUGGAGAAUCAAAUCACGUGUAGUUCUAAGAAAGAAGUGGUGUGAUGUGUGCUACAUCGUGAACCAUCCUUGACAAAGAUCCCUAACUUAGGCAUGUUGGAGAUGUUUCUCCAUGUCUACCGUCUACGCGUAGAUGAAUGGAGUGUAGAGAAUAUGUUAGCCUAUGUUAGGCGUAGAGAGAAUGUGUGUUGUGACUAUUAGAUGAUCAAAAAGAAGUCUGGAAAUUAAAACUAUGUUUGGAUGAGGGAAAUAAACUUGGAAUUUCAAUAAAAGUUAGAAUUUUAUAAAUUAACAUGCACCAAUUCUCUUGUUUGGCUUCAUAAACAUAGAAAUUUCGAAUUUCCACGUGGAAAAAAAAAACUUGGAAUUUGGGACCUCCAAUUCCCAAUUUUAAAUUCCAUGUAAAUAUGUGUUAUUUCCCAAUUUCUAUGAUUUAAGAGUUUAAAAAUAACAAAUUUCGUAUUCAAUUCCAUUAUUCUUUUAGGUUAAUCAAACAAGAAAAUUCACAAAUUCUAUAAAAUAAAUCUCGUCAUUUCAAUUUCCAUCAUUUUAAAAUUCCUUAGGGAUCUUAAAUUUGUUCAUCCAAACAGAGUGUAAAGAGAUUCCCCUAGAUAAAUACCUAGCCUGGACAUUUAUAAAGGUCUUGAGAGAAUAAUCCAUACUAAAUCGGAAAACUAUUUAUGAGGAAAUUUAGGAUAAGCAAAGAGAGCAAUGGGAUCUUUAUUCUAUAAAAGGGAUCCUUCACUUUCACUGGGAAGAGAAGCAAAGAGAGCAAAGGAGGGCAGAAAGAAGAGCAAAGAGAGCAAACCCUAGUCUCUAUAGCCUCUAUGUACAUUGUAACCUUCAUUGAUAUAGUGAAACCAUAUUGACACCAAUGUGGACGUAGCCCCAACUUAGGGUGAACCACAUUAUAUCUUUGUGUUCUUGUGCGUUUGUGUGAUUCACGGUCGAAUUUAUAUCGGUCCAAGUUCGACCCAAUUUUCUGCAUCAAUAAUGUCCAAUCCUUCUAGAAUUAUGAUUAUGUUGCCUAAUCCCCAAGGUAUCCAAAUUCGACAUGAAUUUGGAUUUUCUUACUUGGGAGACAACUAAUACUUAUAAUGGCGUUAAGCCUAGCCUGUCAGACUAAGGUUGUCUAACUACAUGUUCCAACUAGUUAGCCUGUUGGAAUAUCUUACUCCAAUUUGACUAGGAAACUUGACUAGUUUGAUUGUUUGAGCUCCAUGGGCUAUAGGCAUUAUGGUCAUUCUCGCCACUCGGGUGCUAAGUGUUAGAGGCGUAAAAUUCAUGGUUACACAUAGCCGAUUUCUACAAAACUACAACCUCAAACCACUACCAAUAGAACCAGUGAAACCUGUGGAGUGUAGUUGUUGUUUUGCAUGUGGGUUUGGAUGUCAGGAAGUUGAUAGACUCAAGAACUUUAGUUCACCAAUCUCUCUAACGAAUUUCGGUUGAAACACGAUGAAAUGGCUAACUGCUUCCAAGUGUAAAAAGCAUGGGUUGCAUGUUGUUUAUGAAUUGAAAUCGAGAGUUUUAACUUAUGUGUACCUAUAUGUUCAUUUCCCCAGUUUUUUACAAGAGAAAACAACCAAAUUUCAACGAGUUUGUUGAAGAUCUUGAAGUCAAAUGAUUAUAUAUAGGUUCUACUAAGUAUUUCAGACCUUUUGUGAAGUUUUGGGUGGAAAAUCCAUCAAAAUGAGCUAAUUUGGACUUUUGAAAUAAUUUAUGGAAAUUCUACAGAAUUUGCUCGAAGAUUCCUAUGGCGGAGCAUGGCAGUGGACUUAACGACAUUAACAUCGAUAGCGGCGGAAUCCGUUAGUUCUAACGAAAUCAUUGAUGACAAAGGUAAAUCCUGUCAACUUCUCCUGUUUGCAUGCACAAGCACGUUUACUCACCUCACUC
rnacentral:lncRNA from 1 species